rnacentral:rRNA from 1 species
UCCGGUUGAUCCUGCCAGAGGCCGCUGCUCUUCGGCUGGGACUAAGCCAUGCUAGUCUAGGGGCUUGUACUCCUUCGGGGGUGCAAGCACCGGCGGACGGCUCAGUAACACGUGGACAACCUGCCCUCGGGUGGGGGAUAACCCGGGGAAACUGGGGCUAAUCCCCCAUAGGUGAUGGGUGCUGGAAUGCCCCAUCUCCGAAAGCGCUUAGCGCCCGAGGAUGGGUCUGCGGCGGAUUAGGUAGUUGGUGGGGUAACGGCCCACCAAGCCUAAGAUCCGUACGGGCUGUGGGAGCAGGAGCCCGGAGAUGGACCCUGAGACAAGGGUCCAGGCCCUACGGGGCGCAGCACGCGCGAAACCUCCGCAAUGCGGGAAACCGCGACGGGGU